GACCACGGACAGCCGCUGCCGUCGGUGAACCAGGGCCACAGCCCACAGCCCAGUUCUUGAUCUCUACCACCGCCGUCGGACAUGCCGCCACGCUGCACCCCUCCCCCCUCCCCCCAAUACAAUGAAUCCUGAUGUAGCUGUCACGACUGAGACGCCGUAGCGAGUCAACCAUCACACCACACCACCCGGGGAAAACCAAGCUUUGCUCCGCAAAACAUGUUUGAAAACGUAUAGUCAACUAGCGCAAGUGAGAAGCAAUGAAAUAGAACUCAUCUGAGCCUCAAAGAAACAAAAAGGAAAUAAGUGAAGGAAAAAAAAUACCGUUUGCCAUCGAAGUGGAGAGACUGGAAAGUGACAAGUGACAACCAGGCAACCAGCCGUGU
rnacentral:lncRNA from 1 species